GAAAUUGGUACAAGAUUGCAAGAGGGGACAAACACUUUAAAAACCAACUAAAACAUAAUUGAACACAAACCCCAACCGCACAAGCAGACCCAUUUAACACCAAGCAAAAUGUGGAAGGCAACCAAAGCAGAUUCCACUUCAUUCCGUCUUUGUCGUCAACACCCUCGAUCUCGACAAAGGCUUUCUGGUCGCCGCUCGACGAAGCCCACGGCUGCGGCAUAAACAGGUUUUGGAUAUUUGGAUAUGAAUCGACUGGCACGGGAUCAACAGCUACUGGUUCCGGCAGAUGGCUCGAUAGAAGAGGGUGGCGAGUAUCGGAUGAUGUGCAGGUUCUGGUGGAAACCCAUUUGGGAGAAGCGUAAUUCUACCUAUGGAUCUAUUCAUCUCUGACUGAACUAACUAGCGUCUGGAGCCUCUGAGAGUGCCGUAGCAGAGCUGCCAAGUCAAGGCAAACCAAAUUUCGAGUUGGUCUUCAAUCUUCUCGAUGUCGAACUCAGCCUUCAGGUCUUGGAGUUUCAGCGGUGGUCUACGAUUUUCAGCCUUCAGGACUGUGGUACUGGACCACUGAUACUGUCAAAUACUCAGGUCCAGACAAAAUAAUUGAAUCAAAAUGGAUACAACUACGGAAGAUUUGUCAAAUCGAGUAGAUCUACUAAACCGGGUUCUUUUGGUUUAUUGAUCAUAUUGGCCUAUGUUUUCUCUGCCCUAUGUCAGAUAAGCGGAUCAUUGUCUGAUGGGGAGGGGUUCCAUUAGGAUGAUAUCUGCUCAUUCUAGCCAACAGAUUUACACAAGAGCCGCCAAUACCUGAUGAGCUGAUUAUUUUCUGUCAUGGACAAAGCGUAGUUUCUCUCUCUGUUUUGAAGAACUCAUUUAUGCUGUUUUCAUGAAGAUGACAGGAUUUUUAAUGGCGACUGUAUGUCAAAUUUUUUUUUUUGAACUUGAUAUUGGUAUGCACUUGGACGAAUGAUUUGAUUGGUUCCAUUAGGAUGAUAUCUGCUCAUUCUAGCCAGCAGAUUUACACAAUAGCCGCCAAUACCUGAUGAGCUGAUUAUUUUUUGUCAUGGACAAAUGAGUAGUUUCAAUCUCUGUUUUGAAGAACUCAUUCUUGCUGUUUUCAUGAAGAUGACUGGAUUUUUAAUGGUGACUGUAUGUCAAUUUUGUUUUUUGAACUUGACAUUGGUAUGCGCUUGGAUGAAUGAUUUGAUUGAUGAUGUUUGAAGACUUCCCACUUCACUUGAUAUAUGUUGUUGGCACAAGUGUUAUCUUUGUUCCUUUUAUUUUCAACCUAGCUAAUUCAUAAUGAAGUGUUCCAAACACCUAAAAAUUGUCGGCUAGGAUGCAAAUAAAUUAGGUUUUUGUUAGUCUGAACUUUAAUGUGCAUCAUCAUCCUCAACGAACAUCCUUGCUAGCUGUAGCUGUAACUGUAACUUACUCUGAAACUUCUUGUGCUUUGAUGCUCUUCUUAUCCGGGGUGGUUAAGAUGAUUCCACAGCUUAUGAGAGCUAUAUUAAAGCGGUGGUAAUGUCUGUGCAAUUGCGGGCUUGGUUGUUUCAUCAGAAUUCUGCGGCUAGAGCAACUCCGAUCUCGCAUUCUGUGGUUUCGUCCAUGUCCGUUUGAGUUUCUGGUGAAUUAAUGCCAAGUAAAAGAAUACGAGGACAAAAUGGUUUUACUUUUCUUCCUUCUCUCUUUGAAUUGUUAGAAGAAGGAAGGCAGCUUUACUUUCUCAGAAUUAUUGGUACAGGCUCGGUUUUUUCAUCAGUAUUCUGCGGCUGGAGCAACUCCGAGCUCGCAUUCUAUCGGCUUCCUACGGGUGCUUGGAAUGUUUUUUGUAGGUGGGUUCGUGAGAUUGGGGUGUUUCUUGUGAUAGUUCUGUGUCUCUUUGUUCCUUUUUGAUUUUGGUGAAGCAGAUGAUUGCGAUUGCAUUUUCAGAACCGCAAAUGGUUACAUGAAAGUCUAGGAUUCAGCCAUUAUUAGUUUCAUGAAAUCAGGUAUGUGAAAAUUUCAACGUCCUUUGUUAGUUUAUCUCCUUUGUUGAUAUUACUUGGAGGUCUUAUGGAUUGGCUUCUUUUCUUGGAGUAUCUAGAGGCUGGAUCUGGAUAUCUGUCGUUUUUUGUGUGUGUGAUCCGCAGCUUCGAUUGAAUUUUGGGGGCAUCAUUGUUUCAUUUUAUAAUUUUUAUAAUUAUAUCAGAUUAGUUCACAAAUGUGCUAUAUAAACGGCAGCGGGCUAUGGUUUCUGAGUUUUGUAAAAUGGGAAUAAAAUUUGUUGUCAUAAAUUAUUCUAAAAAUGCGAGGUUUUGCAGUUCAAAUAGCUGAAGUUGUUGAUGAUUCUUCAGUGACGAGAUGGGAGUGGGGUUGGGAGAGAGAGGGAGAGAGGCGAAGUUGAGAUUCCAUCUGGGUGGUUUGCUUAAGAUGCCCGCAUGAACCAUGAGGCCUCCAAGCAGUGAAAUUCGUCCGAAGAUCAUACGGGGGUGGUGUUGGUCUUGGAGGAUGGGAAUCGUUACAAGAAUUGUCCAUGUGGACUUGGCAUGUGCUUGGUUUCCACGGCGUAUUCUUAAAGGAAUCUAGGUCGAAACUUCUAUAAAUGCUGUUAGACAAGUAAAAUUCUUCUUCGUUUCUAUUUUUGCUACCGUGGGUUGUUGGAAAUAAGCAAGUUGAGUUAUGCCGGCAUGUCGUCUUUUAUAGUGAGUAUGAGCUUGGUAUAUAUCAAAUAAUGCCUCAAGCAGUAGUGGGAUUGUCUGCCUCCUCUCUCAAGAAGGAUGGUAGCCACUUCGUCAAAGAUUCUACAUGGGUAUCAAUGUUAACCUUUUCAAUUUAUUUCUCAAUUUUUAUCAAGUA